CUUCUCUCAAUCUCUCCCUUUUUCGAGUUUUUUCUUCUCCAUCUCAUCUCCAUCUGAACCACCAAAUUGAUGGCCACUGGGAUCUGAUUCUCAGCAAGUCUUUUUGUUGUCUAUUCAAUUAUUCAAUUUUAUUUCCUCUGCUUACGAAUUUCUUCCUCUGGGUGGAGUUAGCUAGGGUUCUUAGCCAACGAAGUUCGGAGGAGAGGAAGAAAGUAAAGAAGAAGCAUCCGAUCUGAAACCAAAAUUUGGAUUGCAUGGGCUCUUCGUCUUCGACUGGAUAUGUAGAGGGUCUGAAAGAGAACUUCAAUGCUUCCCAUGGCAAUCCCAAUCCAAAAGUGUAAUCAUGAUUCUGGUUUUAGAUACCAGUCAGAUCCUAAUACAAACUGAUCAAUUCAUCCGAUUGGAGGGACAAGCAUAAGACUUGGGGGAAUGGCAAAAGGUUCCACCCAAAUACGGCUACCAUGCUUGGUGUAAGUGUCUUCCGAUGCUUCUUUCUUGAUGUUGACUAGUAGCUCAAAACACCAACUAAGUGUAUUGAUUUUAUUACCAGGAACAUGUAGUAGUGACAACUAAUGGGUAGGUGUAUUAUUAGAUAUACAAGGCUCAUAUAUAUGAACGGGAGUGAAGUAAAACCAUUACUAAGCUACCUUGGUAUGUAGAUUACUUGGUUAAUUGAAGAGCAAUGCUCACUUCAGUACUUUCCUUACAAUUUCAAACAUUCUUUCUUAUGAUGAAGCUGCAAGGUUACUACUUGGGGAUGCAGCCAAUGCAUUCGUAAUUACUCGCUGUUUUUUAUAUUUAUUUUUUGGAAACUUGGUUUUUGAUUCUGGUAUUCAAGAUAUUGCAUCCAUGAAGUGUCCAAGGUUUCAUAAGUUUGUUUUACAAGUCUUAAUUUACAAUUAUAUUCUUUUAUUUGUCUGUCGCUAUUUGAAAAUGUGGAUGUUGCUUCUAUUCACUAAAUCUAUGUUGUUUCUUCUCAUGUAUGACAAAUAAUGCUUAGUUCUUUCCUUAGGUGAAUUGGUCCAAGCUACUACCAAGGUAAAUACAAAAUGGAAAGGACUGCUAAAGUAUUACCUAUUAGACAUCGAUGAAGAGUUAGAAGUAAUAAUGAAAUCUGAAGAUAUGUGUUUGGAGUCCGCUAAGAAGUUCUCCCCUGUGUUUGAUAAGGUCAAGAAGCUGCAAAGGGACUGUCUAAGGAACCCUGUGAAUCACUGACGAAGCUUACAAGAGUAUCACUUCUAGUAGUGUAUAGUUUCUUAUGAAUGUAUUUUAAACUUGUAAAUUUAUUGUAUAAUACAUUUAAAAUGCAAGACAAGAUCAUAAUUGGUGCAUUUUUUUUUUGGGAAA